rnacentral:siRNA from 1 species
UAUUUGCCUCAUUCCCGUCUCA